GGGGGCCCGCACAAGCGGUGGAGCAUGUGGUUUAAUUCGAUGCAACGCGAAGAACCUUACCUGGUCUUGACAUCCACAGAACUUUCCAGAGAUGGAUUGGUGCCUUCGGGAACUGUGAGACAGGUGCUGCAUGGCUGUCGUCAGCUCGUGUUGUGAAAUGUUGGGUUAAGUCCCGCAACGAGCGCAACCCUUAUCCUUUGUUGCCAGCGGUCCGGCCGGGAACUCAAAGGAGACUGCCAGUGAUAAACUGGAGGAAGGUGGGGAUGACGUCAAGUCAUCAUGGCCCUUACGACCAGGGCUACACACGUGCUACAAUGGCGCAUACAAAGAGAAGCGACCUCGCGAGAGCAAGCGGACCUCAUAAAGUGCGUCGUAGUCCGGAUUGGAGUCUGCAACUCGACUCCAUGAAGUCGGAAUCGCUAGUAAUCGUGGAUCAGAAUGCCACGGUGAAUACGUUCCCGGGCCUUGUACACACCGCCCGUCACACCAUGGGAGUGGGUUGCAAAAGAAGUAGGUAGCUUAACCUUCGGGAGAGCGCUUACCACUUUGUGAUUCAUGACUGGGGUGAAGUCGUAACAAGGUAACCGUAGGGGAACCUGCGGUUGGAUCACCUCCUUA
rnacentral:rRNA from 1 species